UAGGGAAUCUUCGGCAAUGGACGAAAGUCUGACCGAGCAACGCCGCGUGAGUGAAGAAGGUUUUCGGAUCGUAAAACUCUGUUGUUAGAGAAGAACAAGGACGUUAGUAACUGAACGUCCCCUGACGGUAUCUAAGCAGAAAGCCACGGCUAACUACGUGCCAGCAGCCGCGGUAAUACGUAGGUGGCAAGCGUUGUCCGGAUUUAUUGGGCGUAAAGCGAGCGCAGGCGGUUUCUUAAGUCUGAUGUGAAAGCCCCCGGCUCAACCGGGGAGGGUCAUUGGAAACUGGGAGACUUGAGUGCAGAAGAGGAGAGUGGAAUUCCAUGUGUAGCGGUGAAAUGCGUAGAUAUAUGGAGGAACACCAGUGGCGAAGGCGGCUCUCUGGUCUGUAACUGACGCUGAGGCUCGAAAGCGUGGGGAGCAAACAGG
rnacentral:rRNA from 1 species